GAUGAACGCUAGCUACAGGCUUAACACAUGCAAGUCGCGGGGCAGCAUGGGGGUUGCUUGCCACCCCUGAUGGCGACCGGCGCACGGGUGAGUAACGCGUAUCCAACCUGCCCUUCACCACGGGAUAACCCGGCGAAAGUCGGACUAAUACCGUAUGUUGUACAUUGACGGCAUCCGAUUUGGACGAAAGUCUUGGGGGAGAAAGGAAGGGGUUGCGUCCGAUUAGCGUGACGGCGGGGUAACGGCCCACCGUGGCUACGAUCGGUAGGGGUUCUGAGAGGAAGGUCCCCCACACUGGAACUGAGACACGGUCCAGACUCCUACGGGAGGCAGCAGUGAGGAAUACUGGGCAAUGAGCGUAAGCCUGAACCAGCCAAGUAGCGUGCAGGGUGACGGCCCUAGGGGUUGUAAGCUGCUUUUAUGCGGGGAUAAAGUGGCCCACGUGUGGGCUUUUGCAGGUACCGCAUGAAUAAGGACCGGCUAAUUCCGUG
rnacentral:rRNA from 1 species